AUCGGAUCUGGCGGAGGUCGAGCUCCCAGCCGCGGCGGGGCAGGAGGUCGUAGUAGCGGGGCUCGACGCCGGACAGCUCGCAGGCGGACUCGUAGGGGGCGAACCCCGGCCGCGGCAGGAGCAGGUUGGCCCCCGGCCGGGCCAGCACCGUCACGCAUACCUGGAUCNUGUAGAGAGGAAAAGUGAGGAGAGGGGAAGUGGGUAACCUGGAGGAGGUGGGCAGCGGAGUAGACGGCACCGCAGGGAUUGUUAGGGUUGAUGAGGGGGCGAACCCCGGCCGCGGCAGGAGCAGGUUGGCCCCCGGCCGGGCCAGCACCGUCACGCAUACCUGGAUCGCCUGCGUCCCGCCCACCGUCAGGAACACGUCGCCCUCCCGAAUUCCCUGCUCCUGCGCCUGCUCUUGCUUCUGCUGCUUCUUGAUUCCUUUCCAUAGGUAAUCCGCUACCGCCCUGCCCUCCGUUUCAAAAAUAAAUAAAAAAUAAAUUAAAUUAACAAAUAAAAGGUUGAAUAUAUAUAAAAAUAUUAAGGUUAAGAAUACCGUUAUUUUUAGCUUCGGGUUGUUCGGGAAAAAAGAAAAAAAUAAUUCUAAAAAAGAAACUAAAUUAAUGAAGACCCCUAUGUAUGCAUAGGUACGUCCUGAUACGGAUACCUAAAAUUUUAUCCAAAUUCGAAUCCGAAUAAAAAAGAUUUAUUCAAUACUAGAUGAAUGUAGCUUCGGAUAUGAAUAUUAAAAGCAAAAAUCCAACAAAUAUGAAUUCGGAUAUGAAUUUUAACUAUAUCCGAUCCAAAUCCGAAUUUAUUUUACAUAAAAUGUAUAUAAAAUUUAAUAUUAUAUUUGAAUUUGUAUUUUAAAAAAUUUAAAUUUAAUGUAAUAUAUUUUGAAAUAUUGAAAAGACAAAUAAUUAUUUCGGAUUCGGAUUCGGAUUUGGGCUUCGAAUUUUUGGUCCGAUUCGGGUUUGGAUAUGAAUUUUUAAAAUCCGUCGGAUUCAGAUUCGAGGUCAGAUUUCAGGUUUGGAGUUGGGUUCGGGUUUGGGUUUUGAAAAUCCAUCUUGAAUCCGACUCAUUGACAUCCUUAACUAGACACCUCAACGCUUGUCGGAAAAAAUAGGUUCUACUAAUUGAUUUUAGUUUGAAGAAAUAAUUUUUGUUAGAAGUUGUAGAGCGUUUGGCUAAGCAUAACUUUAAUAGUGAAGCAAUUUUUUUUAAAAUGAUUUUAUAAAAUUACUUAGCAAAAAAAAUCGAUUUGUAAUUAAUAAUUUUGAAUUUUGAAUUUUAAAUUUUAAAUUUAAGAUCUCAAUAAGAAUUAAAAUUUUAAUAUUUGAAUUACAAAUCUAAAUUUAAAAUUAAAUUUUGAAAUUUGAAAUUUAACAUUUAAUAUUUCAAAUUUAAAUAUAGCCUAACACGUUAUUUAUGAAAUUGGAUUUGAAUUUUUAGAGGUAAUUAGUACUUAGUAGUGGCUUUUAAAGAGUUGCGAAAAGGUCUUGUAGUGGACCCAAUGUUAUAUCUUUAGGCCCUAUGGGCUUUGGGCUAAGCAUAAUCUUCCCUACAACUUUGUUUCAAUGUUUGAAUAAAUUUUCAAUAAUAACUAAUCCUUUAUGAGCAAUUUCUUUUGUGACGGUAAAGUAACUGCUUGAUUUUAGCUUGUUGGAAGACUUUGAAAACCAUAAUUUGAUAGGAUAAUAUAUUCCACCUAUCUUAUCCAAAAAAAAAAAAUUAAAAAAUUACAUACAGUAUGCCUUUCUAGGCAUAUAUAUAUAAUCAUACUCUCUAUCUACAACUACUACAAGUCUCUUACCAACCGUCCAUAACACAAGUGUUAGAGGGAUUGAUAGCUAGUACUUGAUGACUCCAGUUUAAAGCCUAGUUAGUUCAUUUUUUGCUAAAUUCAUCCCCCCACAAAAAAAAGUAUAUAGCAUAUCAGGAGUUAUAUAUAUAUAUAACAAGCCUCUUAAACAAAUAUAAAAGAUGUGUGAAUAUGUUAUGCCUGUUUGUAAACACAAAAUAAAAUAAACUACUUCAAAACGAAAUAUAUUAUUUUAUUAAAUUAUGAAUGUCAAGAUCUUUUGAAGAGCUAAAAAUCAAGUUCCUAUUUUGCAAUCGCAUAGGAAAUUCUUUGAAUAGCUUAAAUUAUUUCCAAAUAACUUAUUCUAAUGUCCAAACAAGGCAUGAAUGAAAUAUAUGUCUAAACAAAAAUUUAUUCAUCCAAAUAUAUAAUCUACAAGUUUCACAUGAUAUAUCUUAACACAGAGGUGCAGGAUAGACUACACUAUCUAGUAACUUUUUUUGUGUUGUAAAUUAGAAACUCCAAAUUAAAACUUUUGAUUUUAAGCCUCAAAAUUAUAUAAUUAUUUUUUGUAAUUUUUAUAGACUCAUUCCAAAGAUGUAUAGUAUCUAAAUUGUACUGUUCAGCACUAUGAUGAGCUAGCAAUCAUAUGCGGAGAUGAUCAAACAAUCGGAGAAUUUGCAUUGAAUGAUUCAAAUAGUGUCAAUCUUGGUAAAGAAGAGAACAAUGAUGAUGGUGAUGACGUUGGCCUGGAAGAUUUCUAUUUGGAUGAGAGCAAGCAUUUUUUAUGAACAAUCUCUUUUCAAUAACGUAAAAUGACAAAAUACAUGCCCGGUGACCAAGUCUAGCAUAGCUACAACCUCAAAAGCUAAGAAAUAAAAACAUUCAAAUUCAGAAUUUAUGUUAUUAGUGAAAAAGAUUGAAAAUUUAGCAGAUUCAAUAAAGGAUGCGUAGAUAAUGUACAGAAAGGAGAUAUGAAGCUCUAUAAAGUCGUGAAAUAUUUCCGAGCACGUAGGUACUGUUGCAUAUGAGUAUUUCCUAAGAAAUGAAAUAGUUGGAAAAUAUUUUUUAGUUCGUAGAUAGAGACGCGAGUUGAAUGGUUAAAACACUUUAAAGAUCAAUUUCUAAAAGUAAUUUUGAUCUAGUUGCUAAAUAUGAAAAACUAUUUAGUAUACUAUUUGGCUUUUGGAAUUGGAUGGUUUUGGAUAUAAUGGCGCAUAGUAUAGAUAAUACUACUUUAUAGUUUGCAAUUUUUUGUAUCUAUUUACUUUUGGGUUAUGGUUUCACUAGAAGCUGUCCAAAAAAUUGGAUAUUAAAUAGUUGAUAUUUUAUUUUGACAACUCACACAUUAUUUUGUUGAUAUAUUAUAUGCCGACUAUUUAUGUUUGUAAGUUUUUAAUAUUUAUUCUUUUCUUUUAAUAAUGUAUUACAUAUAUUCAUACUUUUCAUAUAUUAAAUUGAUAAAAUAGAUAACUUGUGAUAUGAGAAUUAGAAAGAUUAUAGAGAUCUUGUGUCCAUUAUUUGUCCAUCUUUAUGCUUUUCUAAAUUAUGCUUUAUGAACAAUUGGAGUAGUUGAACUUAAAAAGAAGCCAAAUAAAUGACUGUGACAAAAUUGGAAUGUUAUAAGCAAUAAGUCAAAUCAUCUUUAUAUGGUUAAUUGCUUCAUAUUAUUAUAGUUAUUAUUAUUAAAUAUGAAUAUUCAUUCUUACAUAUAUCAAGUUUUAAUAGGGGGUGAUCUCACCUCCAACAUGUAGGAAGUAUUUCUAUCUCAUUUUUCACUACCAAUAAAUAAUAUUAAUAUAUUAUUCAAAUUUUUUAAAAUAUUUUAUAUACCUUCUUUUUUUUUUAUGGUAAACUUACCAUCCUUGUGGUUUCGUACUUUCUCACUUUAGUAGCCUGUGAUUUAAGAUUACUAAUUUAGUAUUCUAUGGUUUUAUUUUUUUUCUUUUCGUCAGUCCUUCAGUUAAUUUUUCAUCAAAAAACUUUUGAUACCCCACUCAUAGUUUAUCUAGUUUAUCAAAUAUUCACUUUAGUACCUUUUAGUUUUAACUUCGUCACUGAUUUAACGGAAAAAAUUAGUAGAAUAAAUAACAAAAAGAGAAAAAUAAAACCACAGGGUACGAAAGUGAUACAUUUUAAACCACAGAAUACUAAAGUGAGAAAGUGCGAAACCACGAUAGCGGUAUUUGAAUUUUUUUCUUUUUUUAUUUCAAAUAUGAUUCUCGUAUAUUUCUUCGUGUGUUAGUACCAUUAAAUCAUCUCGGGUUAAAUUUCUUCCAAAC
rnacentral:lncRNA from 1 species